AGUUUGAUCCUGGCUCAGGACGAACGCUGGCGGCAUGCCUAAUACAUGCAAGUCGAACGCGGCCAUCCGGUGCUUGCACUGGUGAACCCGAGUGGCGAACGGGUGAGUAACACGUGAGAAACCUGCCCUGGAGUGGGGAAUAACUCGAAGAAAUUCGAGCUAAUACCGCAUACCUUCUCUUCACCGCAUGGUGAGUUGAAGAAAGAUUUAUCGCUCUAGGAGGGUCUCGCGGCCUAUCAGCUAGUUGGUGAGGUAAUGGCUCACCAAGGCAUCGACGGGUAGCUGGUCUGAGAGGACGAUCAGCCACACUGGGACUGAGACACGGCCCAGACUCCUACGGGAGGCAGCAGUAGGGAAUCUUGCGCAAUGGGCGAAAGCCUGACGCAGCAAUGCCGCGUGCGGGACGAAGGCCCUAGGGUCGUAAACCGCUUUCAGUAGGGACGAAAAUGACGGUACCUGCAGAAGAAGCUCCGGCCAACUACGUGCCAGCAGCCGCGGUGAUACGUAGGGAGCAAGCGUUGUCCGGAAUUACUGGGCGUAAAGGGCUCGUAGGUGGUUGAGUAAGUCAGAUGUGAAAUCUCAGGGCCCAACCCUGAGCGUGCAUUUGAUACUGCUCUGACUAGAGUCCGGUAGGGGAGUGCGGAAUUCCUGGUGUAGCGGUGAAAUGCGCAGAUAUCAGGAGGAACACCGACAGCGAAGGCAGCACUCUGGGCCGGUACUGACACUGAGGAGCGAAAGCAUGGGUAGCAAACAGGAUUAGAUACCCUGGUAGUCCAUGCCGUAAACGUUGGGCACUAGGUGUGGGGAGAACUCAACUCUCUCCGCGCCGUAGCUAACGCAUUAAGUGCCCCGCCUGGGGAGUACGGCCGCAAGGCUAAAACUCAAAGGAAUUGACGGGGGCCCGCACAAGCGGCGGAGCAUGUUGCUUAAUUCGAGGCAACGCGAAGAACCUUACCUGGGUUGAACUACGUGGGAAAAGCCGCAGAGAUGCGGUGUCCUUCGGGGUCCACGAU
rnacentral:rRNA from 1 species